CCUACGGGAGGCAGCAGUGAGGAAUAUUGGUCAAUGGACGAGAGUCUGAACCAGCCAAGUAGCGUGAAGGAUGACUGCCCUAUGGGUUGUAAACUUCUUUUAUAUGGGAAUAAAAUGUUCCACGUGUGGGAUUUUGUAUGUACCCUAUGAAUAAGGAUCGGCUAACUCCGUGCCAGCAGCCGCGGUAAUACGGAGGAUCCGAGCGUUAUCCGGAUUUAUUGGGUUUAAAGGGUGCGUAGGUGGAUUGUUAAGUCAGUUGUGAAAGUUUGCGGCUCAACCGUAAAAUUGCAGUUGAAACUGGCAGUCUUGAGUACGGUAGAGGUAGGCGGAAUUCGUGGUGUAGCGGUGAAAUGCAUAGAUAUCACGAAGAACUCCGAUUGCGAAGGCAGUUCACUGGACUGCAACUGACACUGAGGCUCGAAAGUGUGGGUAUCAAACAGGAUUAGAUACCCUAGUAGUC
rnacentral:rRNA from 1 species